rnacentral:rRNA from 1 species
GCGUAAACGAUGAGUGCUAAGUGUUGGAGGUUUCCCCUUCAGUGCUGCAGCUAACGCAUUAAGCACUCCGCCUGGGGAGUACGACCGCAAGGUUGAAACUCAAAGGAAUUGACGGGGGCCCGCACAAGCGGUGGAGCAUGUGGUUUAAUUCGAAGCAACGCGAAGAACCUUACCAGGUCUUGACAUCCUUUGACCACUCUAGAGAUAGAGCUUUCCCUUCGGGGACAAAGUGACAGGUGGUGCAUGGUUGUCGUCAGCUCGUGUCGUGAGAUGUUGGGUUAAGUCCCGCAACGAGCGCAACCCUUAUUGUUAGUUGCCAUCAUUCAGUUGGGCACUCUAGCGAGACUGCCGGUGACAAACCGGAGGAAGGUGGGGAUGACGUCAAAUCAUCAUGCCCCUUAUGACCUGGGCUACACACGUGCUACAAUGGGAAGUACAACGAGUCGCUAGGCCGCGAGGUCAUGCAAAUCUCUUAAAGCUUCUCUCAGUUCGGAUUGCAGGCUGCAACUCGCCUGCAUGAAGCCGGAAUCGCUAGUAAUCGCGGAUCAGCACGCCGCGGUGAAUACGUUCCCGGGCCUUGUACACACCGCCCGUCACACCACGAAAGUUUGUAACACCCGAAGUCGGUGAGGUAACCUUUUGGAGCCAGCCGCCUAAGGUGGGAUAGAUGAUUGGGGUGAAGUCGUAACAAGGUAACCAAGGGCGAAUUCCAG